ACAGCAGCCGCCGCGGGAAUACGAAGGGUGCAAGUGUUAAUCGGAAUUACUGGGCGUAAAGCGUGCGUAGGCGGUUUGUUAAGUCUGUUGUGAAAUCCCCGGGCUCAACCUGGGAAUGGCAAUGGAUACUGGCAAGCUAGAGUGUGUCAGAGGAUAGUGGAAUUCCCGGUGUAGCGGUGAAAUGCGUAGAGAUCGGGAGGAACAUCAGUGGCGAAGGCGGCCAUCUGGGACAACACUGACGCUGAGGCACGAAAGCGUGGGGAGCAAACAGGAUUAGAUACCCCGGUAGUCCCUGUCUCUUAUAC
rnacentral:rRNA from 1 species